rnacentral:rRNA from 1 species
UACGUAGGGAGCGAGCGUUGUCCGAAGUUACUGGGCGUAAAGCGCGCGUAGGCGGGCUGUUAAGUGAGAGGUGAAAGGCUGGGGCUCAACCCGGGAACUGCGUCCGAUACUGGAAGGCUUGAAUCCGGGAGAGGGAUGCGGAAUUCCAGGUGUAGCGGUGAAAUGCGUAGAUAUCUGGAGGAACACCGGUGGCGAAGGCGGCAUCCUGGACCGGCAUUGACGCUGAGGCGCGAAAGCCAGGGGAGCAAACGGG